CUCCUAGCUCCUGUUGACAACCCAGAGGAGUGUACACUUGGCAGUGAGGAGGAGGAGGUGGCCUCUGAUACGGAGGAGCGUGCGGCCCAGUAUCACCAUCGUAUGUAUUCUUUUUCUUUUAAACAGUUACUGAGACGUAGUUGACAUGCAAACCAAUUCACCCAUUUAAAGUAGGUGAUUCAGUGUUUUUACUGUAUUGACAGGGUUGUGCAACCAUUGUUAGAAUCUAAUUUUAGAAGCUCUUGGUUUCCUCUCAGAAAACUCCCUUAGUGGUGACUCCUCUGUUUUCCCCAAUGCCCCACACCCCUGGUUCUAGGCAGCCCUAAUCUACCUCCUGUUCCUAUAGUACACUGCCUUUCUGUAUGAACCAGUUCUUCAAAUGACGAUUUCACGUUGAUGAGGUUGCCCUAGCUAGGAAGCCAAGGUGCUUUCAUUCCUUUCUGCCCCUCUGCUUUUUC
rnacentral:lncRNA from 13 species